AUUGAACGCUGGCGGCAGGCUUAACACAUGCAAGUCGAGCGGAGAUGAGGUGCUUGCACCUUAUCUUAGCGGCGGACGGGUGAGUAAUACUUAGGAAUCUGCCUGGUAGUGGGGGACAACGUUUCGAAAGGAACGCUAAUACCGCAUACGUCCUACGGGAGAAAGCAGGGGACCUUCGGGCCUUGCGCUAUCAGAUGAGCCUAGGUCGGAUUAGCUAGUAGGUGAGGUAAUGGCUCACCUAGGCGACGAUCCGUAACUGGUCUGAGAGGAUGAUCAGUCACACUGGAACUGAGACACGGUCCAGACUCCUACGGGAGGCAGCAGUGGGGAAUAUUGGACAAUGGGCGAAAGCCUGAUCCAGCCAUGCCGCGUGUGUGAAGAAGGUCUUCGGAUUGUAAAGCACUUUAAGUUGGGAGGAAGGGCAGUAAGCUAAUACCUUGCUGUUUUGACGUUACCGACAGAAUAAGCACCGGCUAACUCUGUGCCAGCAGCCGCAGUAACAC
rnacentral:rRNA from 1 species